ACAUGCCCAGCCUAUAAUAUUUCUUUUUUCUUUUAGCCACCACCUCCUUCAGGGUUUUUAAUUCAUAUGGCUUACUUCCCCUCACAUGAACUGCAAUUCUCACCUUAUCUAUCCCUUUUACCAGUCUGUGUGUGUGUGUGUGUAUGUGCAUGUGUGUGGAGGGGGAGGGCAACAUUAAGGACUUAGUAUAUACAAGGCAUCUUGCUGAGCACUUUGCAUGAGUUAUCUCAUUGAAUCCUCACAAUAACCCUAUGGACUCGGCUCCUACCUGUAAUUCC
rnacentral:lncRNA from 1 species